rnacentral:rRNA from 1 species
GACGAACGCUGGCGGCGUGCCUAAUACAUGCAAGUCGAGCGAGCGGAACCAACAGAUUUACUUCGGUAAUGACGUUGGGAAAGCGAGCGGCGGAUGGGUGAGUAACACGUGGGGAACCUGCCCCUAAGUCUGGGAUACCAUUUGGAAACAGGUGCUAAUACCGGAUAAUAAAGCAGAUCGCAUGAUCAGCUUUUGAAAGGCGGCGUAAGCUGUCGCUAAGGGAUGGCCCCGCGGUGCAUUAGCUAGUUGGUAAGGUAACGGCUUACCAAGGCGACGAUGCAUAGCCGAGUUGAGAGACUGAUCGGCCACAUUGGGACUGAGACACGGCCCAAACUCCUACGGGAGGCAGCAGUAGGGAAUCUUCCACAAUGGACGCAAGUCUGAUGGAGCAACGCCGCGUGAGUGAAGAAGGUUUUCGGAUCGUAAAGCUCUGUUGUUGGUGAAGAAGGAUAGAGGUAGUAACUGGCCUUUAUUUGACGGUAAUCAACCAGAAAGUCACGGCUAACUAC